rnacentral:tRNA from 1 species
GCGGAAGUAGCGCAACGGUAGCGUCCUGCUUUCCCAAGGCAGUCGUUGCGGGUUCGAGUCCCGUCUUCCGCUCCA